CAGUAGCCGCGGUAAUACAGAGGGUGCGAGCGUUAAUCGGAUUUACUGGGCGUAAAGCGUGCGUAGGCGGCUUUUUAAGUCGGAUGUGAAAUCCCUGAGCUUAACUUAGGAAUUGCAUUCGAUACUGGGAAGCUAGAGUAUGGGAGAGGAUGGUAGAAUUCCAGGUGUAGCGGUGAAAUGCGUAGAGAUCUGUAGGAAUACCGAUGGCGAAGGCAGCCAUCUGGCCUAAUACUGACGCUGAGGUACGAAAGCAUGGGGAGCAAACAGGAUUAGAUACCCGCGUAGUCCCUGUCUCUUAUAA
rnacentral:rRNA from 1 species